rnacentral:rRNA from 1 species
CAGUAGCCGCGGUAAUACAGAGGGUGCGAGCGUUAAUCGGAUUUACUGGGCGUAAAGCGUGCGUAGGCGGCUUUUUAAGUCGGAUGUGAAAUCCCUGAGCUUAACUUAGGAAUUGCAUUCGAUACUGUGAAGCUAGAGUAUGGGAGAGGAUGGUAGAAUUCCAGGUGUAGCGGUGAAAUGCGUAGAGAUCUGGAGGAAUACCGAUGGCGAAGGCAGCCAUCUGGCCUAAUACUGACGCUGAGGUACGAAAGCAUGGGGAGCAAACAGGAUUAGAUACCCCUGUAGUCCCUGUCUCUUAUAC